rnacentral:rRNA from 1 species
AUUGAACGCUGGCGGCAUGCCUUACACAUGCAAGUCGAACGGUAACGCGGGGCAACCUGGCGACGAGUGGCGAACGGGUGAGUAAUGCAUCGGAACGUGCCCGGUAGUGGGGGAUAACUGCUCGAAAGAGCAGCUAAUACCGCAUACGACCUGAGGGUGAAAGGGGGGGAUCGCAAGACCUCUCGCUAUCGGAGCGGCCGAUGUCGGAUUAGCUAGUUGGUGGGGUAAAGGCCUACCAAGGCGACGAUCCGUAGCUGGUCUGAGAGGACGACCAGCCACACUGGGACUGAGACACGGCCCAGACUCCUACGGGAGGCAGCAGUGGGGAAUUUUGGACAAUGGACGCAAGUCUGAUCCAGCCAUGCCGCGUGCGGGAAGAAGGCCUUCGGGUUGUAAACCGCUUUUGUCAGGGAAGAAAUCUUCUGAGUUAAUACCUCGGGAGGAUGACGGUACCUGAAGAAUAAGCACCGGCUAACUACGUGCCAGCAGCCGCCGUAACAC